rnacentral:rRNA from 1 species
CCUACGGGAGGCAGCAGUGGGGAAUAUUGGACAAUGGGGGCAACCCUGAUCCAGCCAUGCCGCGUGUGUGGAGAAGGCCCUCGGGUUGUAAAGCACUUUCAGUGAGGAAGAACGCCUGGUGGUUAAUACCCAUCAGGAAAGACAUCACUCACAGAAGAAGCACCGGCUAACUCCGUGCCAGCAGCCGCGGUAAUACGGAGGGUGCGAGCGUUAAUCGGAAUUACUGGGCGUAAAGCGCGCGUAGGUGGCUUGAUAAGCCGGUUGUGAAAGCCCCGGGCUCAACCUGGGAACGGCAUCCGGAACUGUCAAGCUAGAGUGCAGGAGAGGAAGGUAGAAUUCCCGGUGUAGCGGUGAAAUGCGUAGAGAUCGGGAGGAAUACCAGUGGCGAAGGCGGCCUUCUGGACUGACACUGACACUGAGGUGCGAAAGCGUGGGUAGCAAACAGGAUUAGAUACCCCAGUAGUC